GGCUCUGUAGUGGAAAAAAAGAUGUUAGAUUGCAAAUCUGGAGAUGUGUUUAAAAGGCACCAGAGCUU
rnacentral:tRNA from 1 species